rnacentral:rRNA from 1 species
AGCAUGGUCUUAGCUUGCUAAGGCUGAUGGCGACCGGCGCACGGGUGAGUAACACGUACCCAACCUGCCGUCUACUCUUGGCCAGCCUUCUGAAAGGAAGAUUAAUCCAGGAUGGCAUCAUGAGUUCACAUGUCCGCAUGAUUAAAGGUAUUUUCCGGUAGACGAUGGGGAUGCGUUCCAUUAGAUAGUAGGCGGGGUAACGGCCCACCUAGUUAACGAUGGAUAGGGGUUCUGAGUGGAAGGUCCCCCACAUUGGAACUGAGACACGGUCCAAACUCCUACGGGAGGCAGCAGUGAGGAAUAUUGGUCAAUGGGCGAUGGCCUGAACCAGCCAAGUAGCGUGAAGGAUGACUGCCCUAUGGGUUGUAAACUUCUUUUAUAAAGGAAUAAAGUCGGGUAUGCAUACCCGUUUGCAUGUACUUUAUGAAUAAGGAUCGGCUAACUCCGUGCCAGCAGCCGCGGUAAUACGGAGGAUCCGAGCGUUAUCCGGAUUUAUUGGGUUUAAAGGGAGCGUAGAUGGAUGUUUAAGUCAGUUGUGAAAGUUUGCGGCUCAACCGUAAAAUUGCAGUUGAUACUGGAUGUCUUGAGUGCAGUUGAGGCAGGCGGAAUUCGUGGUGUAGCGGUGAAAUGCUUAGAUAUCACGAAGAACUCCGAUUGCGAAGGCAGCCUGC